rnacentral:misc_RNA from 1 species
CGCCGGCUACGGCGCUGUUACAGGGCCGGGCAUGGCAGACCCGCAGUGCCCCUUUUGGGGACGGCAUGGCACCCUUUCAGCGAUUUGAUUGGGCUGCGGAACCGUUUCACGCUACAUAUAUGCCCAGAGAAGCAGGUCGGUGACCGAAUCCCGGCCUGGGCAAAGCCACUUAAGGACGCGAUUAUGAGCAUCGAGCAAUUCAUCGACAACGAAGUGAAGUCCAACGACGUCGUGCUGUUCAUGAAGGGCACGCCGCAGUUUCCGCAGUGCGGAUUCUCGGGCCAGGUGGUCCAGAUCCA